ACUCCUACGGGAGGCAGCAGUGGGGAAUAUUGCACAAUGGGCGCAAGCCUGAUGCAGCCAUGCCGCGUGUGUGAAGAAGGCCUUCGGGUUGUAAAGCACUUUUCAGUCGUGAGGAAAGGUAGUGUAGUUUAAUAGCUGCAUUAUUUGACGUUUAGCGACAGAAGAAAGCACCGGCUAACUCCGUGCCAGCAGCCGCGGUAAUACGGAGGGUGCGAGCGUUAAUCGGAAUUACUGGGCGUAAAGCGCAUGCAGGUGGUUUGUUAAGUCAGAUGUGAAAGCCCGGGGCUCAACCUCGG
rnacentral:rRNA from 1 species